rnacentral:pre_miRNA from 1 species
AUAUAGGCCACCCUGGGAUCUUGUUAAAAUGCAGAUUUUUGUUCAGUAAAACUAAGGUAGAGCCAAAGCUACAUUUCUAACCAGUGCCUAAUGGUAAUACU